rnacentral:rRNA from 1 species
AGAUUGAACGCUAGCGGGAUGCUUUACACAUGCAAGUCGAACGGCAGCGCGGACUUCGGUCUGGCGGCGAGUGGCGAACGGGUGAGUAAUAUAUCGGAACGUGCCCAGUAGCGGGGGAUAACUACGCGAAAGCGUGGCUAAUACCGCAUACGCCCUACGGGGGAAAGGGGGGGAUCGCAAGACCUCUCACUAUUGGAGCGGCCGAUAUCAGAUUAGCUAGUUGGUGAGGUAAAGGCUCACCAAGGCGACGAUCUGUAGCUGGUUUGAGAGGACGACCAGCCACACUGGGACUGAGACACGGCCCAGACUCCUACGGGAGCAGCAGUGGGAAUUUUGGACAAGUGGGGGAAACCCUG